CAAUAGCGUAUAUUAAAGUUGUUGCAGUUAAAAAGCUCGUAGUUGAACUUCAGACCUGGCCGGGCGGUCUGCCUAACGGUAUGUACUGUCUGGCUGGGUCUUACCUCUUGGUGAGCCGGCAUGCCCUUUACUGGGUGUGUCGGGGAACCAGGACUUUUACCUUGAGAAAAUUAGAGUGUUCAAAGCAGGCCUAUGCCUGAAUACAUUAGCAUGGAAUAAUAAAAUAGGACGUGCGGUUCUAUUUUGUUGGUUUCUAGAGUCGCCGUAAUGAUUAAUAGGGAUAGUUGGGGGCAUUAGUAUUCAGUUGCCAGAGGUGAAAUUCUUGGAUUUACUGAAGACUAACUACUGCGAAAGCAUUUGCCAAGGAUGUUUUCAUUAA
rnacentral:rRNA from 1 species